rnacentral:rRNA from 1 species
UACGGAGGGUGCAAGCGUUGUUCGGAAUUAUUGGGCGUAAAGGGCGCGUAGGCGGUAAUGCUAGUCAGAUGUGAAAUACUCCGGCUCAACCGGGGAACUGCAUCUGAAACUGCAUAACUAGAGUACAGAAGAGGGAAACGGAAUUCCCGGUGUAGAGGUGAAAUUCGUAGAUAUCGGGAGGAACACCAGUGGCGAAGGCGGUUUCCUGGUCUGAUACUGACGCUGAGGCGCGAAAGUGUGGGGAGCAAACAGGAUUAGAUACCCUGGUAGUCCCU